rnacentral:misc_RNA from 1 species
UCCGAGUUGACCCCGGCAGUCUCCUACGAGUCCCCGGCAUAACCCGCUGGCAACAUAGGACAAGGGUUGCGCUCGUUGCGGGACUUAACCCAACACCUCACGGCACGAGCUGACGACAGCCGUGCAGCACCUGAGCAGGAUGGUAUUGCUACCUCGUUGGGCUUUCACCCUUCUACUACCUGCAUGUCCAGCCUGGGUAAGGUUCUGCGCGUUGCUUCGAAUUAAACCACAUGCUCCACCGCUUGUGCAGGCCCCCGUCAAUUUCUUUGAGUUUUAACCUUGCGGCCGUACUCCCCAGGCGGAUAACUUAAUGCGUUAGCUGCGCCACCAAAGGCCCAUGGCCCCUGACAGCUAGUUAUCAUCGUUUACGGCGUGGACUAC